rnacentral:rRNA from 1 species
GAUGAACGCUGGCGGCGUGCCUAAUACAUGCAAGUCGAGCGAACAGACGAGGAGCUUGCUCCUCUGACGUUAGCGGCGGACGGGUGAGUAACACGUGGAUAACCUACCUAUAAGACUGGGAUAACUUCGGGAAACCGGAGCUAAUACCGGAUAAUAUAUUGAACCGCAUGGUUCAAUAGUGAAAGACGGUUUUGCUGUCACUUAUAGAUGGAUCCGCGCCGGAUUAGCUAGUUGGUAAGGUAACGGCUUACCAAGGCAACGAUGCGUAGCCGACCUGAGAGGGUGAUCGGCCACACUGGAACUGAGACACGGUCCAGACUCCUACGGGAGGCAGCAGUAGGGAAUCUUCCGCAAUGGGCGAAAGCCUGACGGAGCAACGCCGCGUGAGUGAUGAAGGUCUUCGGAUCGUAAAACUCUGUUAUUAGGGAAGAACAAAUGUGUAAGUAACCAUGCACGUCUUGACGGUACCUAUUCAGAAAGCCACGGCUAACUACGUG